UAGGGAAUCUUCGGCAAUGGACGAAAGUCUGACCGAGCAACGCCGCGUGAGUGAAGAAGGUUUUCGGAUCGUAAAACUCUGUUGUUAGAGAAGAACAAGGACGUUAGUAACUGAACGUCCCCUGACGGUAUCUAACCAGAAAGCCACGGCUAACUACGUGCCAGCAGCCGCGGUAAUACGUAGGUGGCAAGCGUUGUCCGGAUUUAUUGGGCGUAAAGCGAGCGCAGGCGGUUUCUUAAGUCUGAUGUGAAAGCCCCCGGCUCAACCGGGGAGGGUCAUUGGAAACUGGGCGACUUGAGUGCAGAAGAGGGGAGUGGAAUUCCAUGUGUAGCGGUGAAAUGCGUAGAUAUAUGGAGGAACACCAGUGGCGAAGGCGGCUCUCUGGUCUGUAACUGCCGCUGAGGCUCGAAAGCGUGGGGAGCAAACAGG
rnacentral:rRNA from 1 species